rnacentral:lncRNA from 1 species
CCGAAUCACUCAGCAUACACCAGUCUCGUUGGCUGCCUGCCUGUCCACUACCUUGUCUAAACAACACUAUGAUUAAAUGGUAAUGAUUCGUUUUGAUCACUUAGUGCCAUGAAAUUUUGCCUCCUCCUUUGCAGGUUAAAUUUUCUAUUUUCAUUGUGAAUACAAUUAAUUUGAAAAUGUGUACAUUCAAAAAUAGUCUUUUAAAAGAGAAUUUGUCACCUAAAAAGUUUGUUCAACAAGUUGACUUGAACUGUCUGUAAAUUUUUGAUAUUUCCCAUUA